CCACUUUCGUCUGUGCACAGUGAAGGAAAAUUUUCCAGUUCUGGAAGCAUCUGGGCUCGAGAAUCGCCCCUGGAAAGGGAUACCGGGAACACUGUGUUGGCAGGAGCAGCUGUAAGGCAUGGUCUAUCUUCCCCAUCUGUGAGAAAUAGUGGAUCUGCACCACCUCUGGUACCCAAUGAUAUGGAAGUCCUGAGCAAUUUGUAUGGAUCUGUAACAGCUCAAGGGAAUCAUGUGCGGCGGAGGCGGAAGGACACAUCUUCAGUACCUUUGGACAGAGGAGACUGUGCCGGGGGCCACAGAAGCAAGGAAGGGACUGCGAGUAUGAGACAUGUGAAAGGAGAAAUCUCUCUCCCAGCUGUCACGAAUUCUACAGAAGUCCAGCUCUGCGGAACAGAUGAAGAAAAUGUU